AGCGCUUACGUGCAAGGGCAAGGUCGUUUUGAUGUGGUGUGACGAUUUCUAGCGAAAUAGGACAAGUUUUAAUCCAUUUCACUCCUUCGUUGAUAUUCAAGCGUAGAAUUACUGGGAAUUAACCGAUGAGCUUUUUAGUGUCUCUGGCAUUCUCAUUUUUAUGUGAAUCUGACUCGAGUAUAGGUAAUACAGAAUGUGGAGAUUGUCCAGCUGACGAAGAUCCAAGUGUGAAAUACACCGAACCGUCCAGAAUAUCCAGAGUUAUCUCUGAAAUACAAGAUAUCAAACAAUCCCUCAUCCUACAUGUGGAACGAAAGAGCCUGGAAACUGCAGUUAUUCUGGUUGCCAUAGCAAUGACAAUAUUAAUUUUGGGAUCAUUUAUUCAAUGGUGGCGUAAAGGACAUCCAGUUCUUACAGAUUAUGUUUUGUUACAUCCAGAAGAUAAAGAAUAUGAUAAAGAUUUAUUUUUAAAACAAAGUUUUAAGGAAAAGCUUCAAAAAGAUACAAAAACGGAACGAAUCAAAUAGAAAUGAGAACAUAUUUUUUCCUGUAAAACAUUUCUGUGAUGUAUAUAAUUAAUAUAUUAUUAUGAUUUGGAGCGAAUGUUGACAUUAUAGAAAAAUAAAAAUAAAAUAGAUUUAUGAAUGAUUUUAUAUUUUUUAAAUAUAUUUUCUGUUUGAAUUGUAAAAUAGAUUGAAUAUUAUUAUAUUAUACAUAGUAUAUAUUUCAAGGUGUUCAAGACCAAUUUAACUACAGUGGUACUAUUAUUCAGCAUGCUUAUUGAUGCAUCAAACUGCUGUCUAUUGUCAGUGUUGUAUUGUCCCACAUUAACCAACAAUUGAUGAAAAUUGGAUGUUCUAUUAAGACCCAGGUUGGAAAAAUGGCUGUCAGAUCAAAACAGUAGGAUGUUAAACCCCAUUUUAUUCACAAAAAGAGAACCAUCUUAUAUGGAAAUUAACCCCACUUUAAACAUAUCAUGAUACUGCUACUUGUUAUAAUAAGAAAAGGGAACCAUCUUGAAAUCAACCCCUACCAGAAAUCCUGGUACUGCUACACAUGGUUAAUCAAGGGUUUGUUAUUUCUAAAUAAUAAAUAUUGCUAUACAGAUAUAUAAAAUAGUAUAAUACAAUAUAAGUGAUUUGAUGUGUCAAUAAGUCAUUAUUUGUAGUAAUUUCCAUAAAUAUUGUAGGUUAUCUCCCUUCAACUAUAUACCUAAACCUACUGCUAACUAUAUAUACUGUACACCUUUUUCUUUUAGACCUGUAUUUUUAUUCAGCUAGAUACAAAAACACUAUUUUUUGUGAGUCAUAGACAAAAUAAUGAAAAAAUCUGAUGCUAUAAUUAGUUCUUUUGAUUUUUUAUAAACAAUAUCUUAUUAAUAAAUGAAUAGAAUUGGAGAACUGGCAUGACCUAUUUACCCUUAGACCUUUUCAUUAAAUUAAAAUAGAUAUUGAAAUCUUUCAUAAUGAUUUCAAGGAGGACAUUAUUGCAGUUCUUUUCCCCCAAAAGGCAUAAUUCUUCAAACCGUUUCAUUGCUAAAUCAAUAAUAAACUAUUAAAAUCUGAAUGAUUUUGUAGAAAAUAAGGUUGUGACUAUUGUGAGCCAUUGGAAAUUACGAGAAACUACCUACUCUUAUGUCUUUCCUUUUAUUAUAUAUGUGUAUGUAUUUUCAUUAUGUAAGGCACUUGUGACCAUAUGCAAAUUGAAAUUCGAUAUAGGCUCCUAAACUGUAAAUCUUCUUUAUUUAUAAAAUAAUUUAUCCUCACCUCUGCUCAUAUGAUGUACAUGUACUGUGUGAUUUUAUCUUCUGAAAAGACAAAAAUAAUUGGAAAAUUUGGCUGAUAUUAAUUAUAAAGUAUUAAGAGUGAAGGUCACUGACAAUUAUACCCAAGAGAGAAAUUUUAAAACAAAGUAGACCACUGAGAAUAAUUUUAUAGGCUAAAGAUUUGUACUGUAAUUUGUAUAUAGCUAGUUUGACCCUCAAACUUACAUUAUUAGAGCAUGUUGAUUUUCAAACUGUAUGGGGCCAGGCAUUGGUAUAUUUGUCCAUAUAACCACAAUGACAUUUCAUCAUGUAAGAUUAGUUCAUUUUCUGUUUGCUUAUAAAAUAUACUGUGCUUUGGCUUUUGAUGCAUAUGGAUGACAAAUUAUUUUUGGAUUUUAAUUCAUAUUGGCUAUCCAUAUGCAUAUGUUUUUACCAUUCCUCCAUCUAGGUCAAUUAUAAAAUUAAAGAUUUAGAUUCUUGGUAAUAUAAUGUUGCCUGUUUAAUUUUGCAAUAAUAUUUAUCAUGGAUCCUUUUCAAAAAUUGUACUUGAUGCUAUUAGUUGACAGACCUUUAAUGUGCAUAAACUAUAUAAAAUUAUUUAUCUUUUUUGAUGAGACUAGAUGAUAUCUGUGUCUCAGGGAUAUACCUCAAAAUCAUUCAACCAUGUAGUCUCAUUAAAAUACCCUCCUACAUGUAUUAUUUCAUGAUUACUCAACAGUUCUUUGUUAUGCUUAAAAUAAAUAAUAAUAUAUAUAAAUAUG